UACAGAGGUCCCAAGCGUUGUUCGGAUUCACUGGGCGUAAAGGGUGCGUAGGUGGUGAGGUAAGUCGGAUGUGAAAGCUCGGAGCUCAACUCCGAAAUGGCAUUGGAAACUACCUUGCUCGAGGGUUGGAGGGGGGACUGGAAUACUUGGUGUAGCAGUGAAAUGCGUAGAUAUCUGCAGGAACACCCGUGGCGAAAGCGGCGCGCUGGACCACUACUGACGCUGAGGAACGAAAGCUAGGGGAGCAAACAGG
rnacentral:rRNA from 1 species